ACCCGCACAAGCAGCGGAGCGUGUGGUUUAAUUCGUUGCUACACGAAGACUUACCUGGGUUUGACAUAUAGGUUGUAGGGAACUGAAAGGGACCGACCUUCGGGAGCCUAUACAGGUGUUGCAUGGCUGUCGUCAGCUCGUGUCGUGAGAUGUUCGGUUAAGUCCGCUAACGAGCGCAACCCUCGUCGUAUGUUAUAUGUGUCAUACGAGACUGCCGGUAAAAGCCGGAGGAAGGUGAGGAUGAUGUCAAGUCAGCAUGACCUUUAUAUCCAGGGCUACACACACGCUACAAUGGUCUGUACAAUGGGUAGCCAAGCCGCGAGGCGGAGCCAAUCCUGAAAGCAGGCCUCAGUUCAGAUUGCAGUCUGCAACUCGACUGCAUGAAGCCGGAGUUGCUAGUAACCGCAGGUCAGCAAUACUGCGGUGAAUACGUUCCCGGGUCUU
rnacentral:rRNA from 1 species